CCUACGGGAGGCAGCAGUGAGGAAUAUUGGUCAAUGGGCGCUAGCCUGAACCAGCCAAGUAGCGUGAAGGAUGACUGCCCUAUGGGUUGUAAACUUCUUUUAUAUGGGAAUAAAGUGCAGUAUGUAUACUGCUUUGCAUGUACCUUAUGAAUAAGGAUCGGCUAACUCCGUGCCAGCAGCCGCGGUAAUACGGAGGAUCCGAGCGUUAUCCGGAUUUAGUGGGUGUAAAGGGAGCGUAGGCGGGUUGAUAAGUCAGUUGUGAAAGUUUGCGGCUCAACCGUAAAAUUGCAGUUGAUACUGGCCUCCUUGAGUACAGUAGAGGUAGGCAGAAUUCGUGGUGUAGCGGUUAAAUGCUUCUAUAUCACGAAGAACUCCGAUUGCGAAGGCAGCCUGCUGGACUGUAACUGACGCUGAUGCUCGAAAGUGUGGGUAUCAAACAGGAUUAGAUACCCCAGUAGUC
rnacentral:rRNA from 1 species